AAGCUCCAACCAUUUGUCUAUGAAUUUCAUAAAGGCAUUGUUUUUGACAUCUGAGUAAUACACCAUUGAGUAAAUGUACCACAUUUUCUGUAUCCAUUCCUCUGUUGAAGGGCAUCUGGGUUCUCUCCAGCUUCUGGCUAUUAUAAAUAAGGGGGUGAUGAACAUAGUGGAGCAUGUGUCUUUUUUAUAUGUUGGGGCAUCUUUUGGGUAUAUGCCCAAGAGAGGUACAGCUGGAUCCUCAGGUAGUUCAAUGUGAAAUUUUCCUAGGAAUCUCCAGACUGAUUUCCAGAAUGGUUGUACCAGUUUGCACUCCCACCAAUAGUGGAGGAGUGUUCCUCUUUCUCCACAUCCUCGCCAGCAUUUAUUUUUACCUGAGUUUUUGAUCUUAGCCAUUCUCACUGGUUUGAGGUGAAAUCUCAGGGUUGUUUGGAUUUGAUUUCCCUUAUGACUUAAGAUGUUGAACAUUUCUUUAGGUGUUUCUCAGCCAUUCGGCAUUCCUCAGCUGUGAAUUCUUUGUUUAGCUCUGAACCCCAUUUUUUAAUAGGGUUACUUGUCUAACUUCUUGGGUUUUUUGCAUCUUUUGAAUAUAAGCCCUCUAUCUGUUGUUGGAUUGGUAAAUAUCUUUUCCCAAUCUCUUGGUUGCCGUUUUGUCCUAACCACAGUGUCCUUUCCCUUCCAGAAGCUUUGCAGUUUUAUGAGACCCCAUUUGUCAAUUCUUGAUCUUAGAGCAUAAACCAUUGGUGUUUUGUUCAGGAAAUUUUUUCCAGUGCCCAUGUGUUUGAGAUGCUGGCCUAGUUUUUCUUCUAUUAGUUUGACUGUAUCUGGUUUGAUUUGGAGGUCCUUAAUCCACUUGGACUUAAGCUUUGCACACGGUGAUAAGCAUGGAACGAUUUGCACUCUUCUACAUGCUGACCUCCAGUUGAACCAGCACCAUUUCCUGAAAAUGCUCUUUUUUCCAUUGAAUGGUUUUGGCUCCUUUGUGAAAAGUAAAGUGCCCAUAGGUGUGUGGGUUCAUUUCUGGGAGCUGCCUUAUGUAUAAUACCCAAGAGCUAGAAGAAACCGUAAUGGCAUUCAUCAGAGGAAUGAAUACAGAAAAUGUAGUACAUCUAAACAAUGGUGUACUACUCAACUCUCAAAACCAAUUAUCUCAAGAAAGCCAAAGACAAAUGGGAUGAUCUAGAAAAUAUCACAAUGAUUGAGGUUACCCAAUCACAAAAUGGUAUGAAAUCACACAUUUUAUGAAAUCACCAAAAGUCAAUAUUGGCACAAAAGCUAAAAUUACCAAAGAUGCAGUUCACAGACAACUGGAAGCUCAAUAAAAUGAUACACAAAAUGUGCAUGCUUUAAUCCUUUUCAAAAGGUGGACACAAUAAUAUCUAUGAAUUUCGAGCAGAGACUGAGGAAAUCCCAUUCAGAGCAGGCCGUACAUGUGGCAAAAAUAUAUACACAUCAGUCACCAAAACUAGAUAAGAUUGAUGGAGCUAAGAAGUGCAUUGUGCCAGGGACUGUAUAUAGAUCUUUCCUGUGAGACACAGCUAGAGCAUAUCAAAUAAAGAAGUGAAUUCUAGAGGCAAAUCAGUGAAUUGAAAACGGACAGUAGGGGAGUUAUAGAAAAAGAGGAGUGGGGCCGGUUAGGGAUCAUAUGUGCAGGUAAUAGGGAAAGGAAAUAACAUUUCAAAUGUAAAUAUAGAAAUACCCAAUUAAAACAGGAAUAAAAUUUGCUAAAAAAAUAAAAAGAAAUAAAGAAAUUUAAGAAAAGAACACUGUGAAGUAUUCACAGCUAUUGACUCAGAAAUGUAAAAGUCAUUUUCAUGGAAUGAUAGUCAAAGUAAUACUAAUGGAAAGACUGAGAUGAUGAAGACUCAACUAGAAACACUUCUCUCUCCCAGAUAUCAGUAUCAGACAAAAACUGCACUAUAGGCAUUCAGAGCAUGGUGGAGUUUACUCUGAGGCGAGGACUCAAUACUUGUCUUUCCAUUCUUCCUUAGGACCAUUUUCUUCUUAACAAAAAGAAUAAGGCUAUGAGAUCUCAGCAAAACAACUGUGCCCUGCCCAUCACUUGGCUUUGGAAUAAAAAAAAAAUGAUAUAAACUCUUUGACUUCCAGGAAUGAUAUGAACAGGAACUGUAAGAGCAGGAAGUCCAGAUGCUUCUGAGAGGACCCCAGCUCCUAAUUCCCAUUUGUAGACGGCUCAGAUCAAGACAAUCUCUUCAUGAAACAACUCAACACCUACUAAGGACUCAGAGAGCUUUCCCAAGGACCUUUUUUGUACCAAGACAGAAGGACCAAAACCAUCAGCUUUAAAGAAAACUGUGCCCUUCCCAACACUUGGCUUUGGAAAAAAGACAUGAAUGAUAUAAAUUCUCCGACUUCCAGGAACCAUAACUAGCAGGGAAGUCCAGAUGCAUCUGAGAGGCUCCCAUCUCCUGAUUACCAUAUUUGGAAGGCUCCAAUCAAUACUAUCUUUUCAGCAAACCUUCUCAACCACUACCCAGAAAUGACUGAGAUUUCCCAUGGACCACAUAUUUCUUUUUUUUUAUAACAAAGCAGAAGGCCAGCUUCCUUCUUCCCAUCUUUGAUCACUUCAUCCUCUUUUUUCUCCUUCCCAAAGGCUGUUUAUGCUGAAUUAGAGGCCAAAUAGUAAACCCUAGAGGUACUGAAGGACUACUGGAGAGGCAACUUCUGUCAGGACAACACUUGUUACAUCACAGAAGAAACUAGGGAUCUCCAGGAUACAACAGAUUUUUUUAGAUAGGCCUAAUGGUGAUGUCACUGAGAAUUGCCAUGGCCUACCUGCUAAAGUGUUUUCCUUUCAAUGACCAGAUUCGAGGGUGCCCUUGCAAGGUUUGUCUCCUGUGAAACAAUGGAAACCUUUUCAUACUACAUGUCUUUAAAGCUAGAAACUUCUCUUUAUUUCCUUAGUGGUUACAUGCUCUGAAAGGAAAAGAUAAUCAGGAGCUUUGCAUGGGUAGAAAAGAUCUCGGAACAUGGAGUGGAAGAGAUUCCUCUGGAUAAUAAUUUUAUUACCAGGUCCAUUACUGUGACAUACAGUUCAAUAUCCUAGGUUAUCUCUGUUUCCCAAAGGCCAGCAUUUUCCCUACAAUCCUUUAAUUGAAUUCAUAUUUCAUUACAGUUUCUCAUUGUACAUUCCUUGAUAGGUGACUUUAUAUAUUCCUGAAUGUGAAGUGAAAAAUUCUGUUUUCCAAUUUCAUGUUUUUUUGCAAUGAUUUUGGCAACCCAAGGGUCCCACCUAAGGUUGAAUAUAAAAAUGUAAAUAUUAUGUACCUAUUUCCAAUGAUGAACUUCCAAAUCCUUAGUUUAUCCAAAAAUUUCGAGACAUCAGAAAAGCUAAGGAAAACAUGAAAUAUAGAAUAUGUUUCAGUCGUCUCAUUAGACAUCAGUUCUUUAAUAUCUAACUUCCUGUUCCUCUAGGGCCAGACGUGAAGGUUUUCGAGGUUUUACCAUGGUUGUUACUUCAGGACAAACAUAAAAUUCAGGAGGAUGUGCAGGGAGAUGAAUGGCUUGAUGUCCAGGGAAACUUCAACUUCAAUAGGUUCAUAAGAACAAGAGGGAGGUGUUUGGAAUUGCCAUUUGUGGAUUCUACAUUCUUGACCUAGGUGUAUAUAAUCCAUGUGAAAAUUCCACCUAACCUCAUAGCUGUAGGAGCCACCAAAUGUAUAGUUGGAACCAGAUGUACAUCUUUCCUGAGAGACAUAGCUUGAGCAAGUCAAAUACAGAAGAGAAUGCUACUGGCAAACCAGUGAACCAAAAAUGGAUCUCUUGUUGGUAGUUUUUGAGAAAGAAUUACAAGAGCUUAAGGGGAUUUCAAUUCCAUAAGAACAACAAUGCCAGUGAACCAGAGCUUUCUGGUACUAAACCAAUAUUCAAAGACUGUACUUGGACAGACCUAUGUGUCCAACUGCAUAUGUAGCAGUGGAUGGCCUUGUUGGGAACCAAUGGAAGGAGAAGUUCCUGGUCCAACCUAGGUUUAACUCUCAGUUCAAGGUAAUAUCAAGGUUCACUAAGGUAGGUUAUAGAAGAAUGUUAGGGGGACUAGUUACGGGUCUUAUGGACAUGAAACUGGGAAAGAAAAUCAAAUUUGAAAUUCAAAUAUAGAAAUAUCCAAAUAAAAAAAGCAAUAAAAUUUGCUAAAAAUUAAAAAAAAUGAAAUAAAUUAAAGAAAAGACAUCUGUCAGCUAAUUACACAUAUUGACUCAGAAAUCUAAAGGGUAACUAUCAGGAAAUGGUAAUCAGAGUAAUACUAGUGGAAAGACUGAGAUGAUGAAGUCUCAACUAGAAGCUCUUCUCUCCCAAAUAUCAGUGUCAGACACAAACUGCACUAUAGGUAUCCAAAGCAUGGAGGCGUUUACACUGAGCUGAGGAGACAAUACUUGUCUAUCCUUUGUUUAUUCGGACCUUUUUCU